rnacentral:misc_RNA from 1 species
GAUGAAGAACGUAGUGAAAUGCGAUAAGUAAUGUGAAUUGCAGAAUUCAGUGAAUCAUCGAAUCUUUGAACGCACCUUGCGCCUUUUGGUAUUCCGAAAGGCACACCUGUUUGAGCGUCAUGAAUACCUCAAUCUCCAUCUUUUCUUCGGAUUGAUGGGUGACUUGGAUGUUUAGCCCUGCUGGUAUGCUAUAUCAGCUGGCUUUAAACUUAUUAGCCGGCUCUGUACUGGAUCGGUUUGACUCGACGUGAUAAUAUUAUCGUUGAGGAUGCAUGUCUCAUGCAGCCGGAAAGUAUCAAAGCAGCUUCUAGCUUGCCUUUAGUGCACUUUUACAUUUUAGACCUCAGAUCAGGUGGGACUACCCGCUGAACUUAAGCAUAUCAAUAAGCGGAGGA